AGAGUUUGAUCCUGGCUCAGAACGAACGUUGGCGGCGUGGAUUAGGCAUGCAAGUCGAACGAAUCCCUAGGGGCUUGCUCUUAGGGGAAAGUGGCGAAAGGGGCAGUAAUGCGUGGGUAACCUACCCCGGGGACCGGGAUAGCCACCCUAACGGGUGGGUAAUACCGGGCGAUGUAGCGAGAUGGCAUCACCUUGCUACGAAAUGAGUUUCGCCUCGGGAGGGGCUCACGUGGUAUUAGCUUGUUGGUGAGGUAACGGCUCACCAAGGCCAAGAUGCCUAGCAGGUGUGAGAGCACGACCUGCGCCACUGGCACUGAGACACUGGCCAGACUCCUACGGGAGGCUGCAGUCGAGGAUCUUCGGCAAUGGGCGCAAGCCUGACCGAGCGACGCCGCGUGCGCGAUGAAGGCCUUCGGGUUGUAAAGCGCUGUCGAGGGGGAGGAAAGCCGAAAGGUCUGACCUAUCCCUGGAGGAAGCACGGGCUAAGUUUGUGCCAGCAGCCGCGGUAAGACAAACCGUGCAAACGUUGUUCGGAAUCACUGGGCUUAAAGGGCGCGUAGGCGGCUUACCAAGUCGGGGGUGAAAUCUUUCGGCUUAACCGGAAAAGUGCUUUCGAUACUGGUAGGCUUGAGUGAGGUAGGGGCAUGCGGAACUUCCGGUGGAGCGGUGAAAUGCGUUGAUAUCGGAAGGAACGCCGGUGGCGAAAGCGGCGUGCUGGACCUCUUCUGACGCUGAUGCGCGAAAGCUAGGGGAGCGAACGGGAUUAGAUACCCCAGUAGUCC
rnacentral:rRNA from 1 species